GGUUUUCCAACUCUGGCUGAAAGCAUGAGAGAAGGAAGACCAAGGCCGCAUCCUCCUGGGAGCCAGGCCAGGCACUGGGUGCUUCAGGCACAACAUCUGACUGAUUUCUCGAUGACCCUGCACUGUGGACACCUGACGGGGAAGUAUGGAAAAGCGGGCUCAGUGAAGAGGGAAGAGCGAGCAUCCACUGCCAGCUUUCCAGUUGGAGACGAGCCAUGCAAAGGCAUCCAGGAAGAAUCUAGUUGGAAGAUGACUCUAUCAGGCUGGAUCAGAACUUGAUGGCUGGCAGCUCACACGGAGACUCCACAUGACCUGCUCGGAAGAGUCAGCCAUCCCUUUGUGCUUCAGUGUCUGUUCCUCUAGUCAGAAGGAAGCUCUAGGACACAGCUUGGGCCAAAAGAUAAGCCCCAACAAUCGCACCCAUGUGUGUAUAGUACCUCAUAGUUUGCAAAUUAUUUGAUCUCAUUUGACCCACAUAAGAACCCUGUGGAUAUCGUUGUUUGAAAGAUGGGGAACAUGCUAUUUUACAGAUGGGGAUGCAAACCCAGACUUCAAAUUCAAACCUAGCGUGCAGGCAAGCCAGAACUCACAUCCAAUUUUUUAAAAAGGAGUGUCCUGAACUACUCCGUCUUCACACACCUCCUACAUCAUUGCUUUCUGUGGUGUUAUCCCCAAAUCUCCACCUGCAUCCAGCUCUUCAAGCUGCAGUUCAGGCUUGGUUGAGGUGUCCGGCGGCGGCAAUUUUACCCAUCUGAAAGCAGAGAGAGGCAUGUGGCUGGUCCGCAGGCAAGGCAGAGAGGGGUCUUUUGGUAUCGUAAUCAUCAGGCUCCCACUAAUAAGAAAAGCAGUCUCUGCAAGCUAGGAACUUCAAAGAGCAACCAGCAACACCCUCUCUGCGUGCUGCGGCUCCUCUGGGCCUGCUCGCAGAGCCAUCCCCUGGCCAGCCCGCUGCUGACACCUUGUGGCCGACAAACAGAGUUCUUGCCCAUUUCCUCUCAGAAUUACGUCAAGCAAGGUGGCUGAGUGCUAGGAACCAGGCCCACCUCCUAUUGUUCUUCCCGGGUUCCCCGACAGCCCCCUCCUCGGAAGCCCAGGGCUUCAGGGCGGCUUAGUGUCAGGGCUGCUUAAGAGCCUGUGUGCCCCUCAGUGGAUGUCCGCUGAGUUUCCUCAGGACCCAGGCUGCCCAGGCCUUGCCAAGCCACGGUGGCAGUCACAGGGCCCUCUAGGUGGCACCUGCUGCUCAAGGCAGGAACCAGCACACACAAUGCUCACCAAAAGACUGGCAGUAAAUAAGGAUUUGCUCAUAAAAGCAGGCAUGAGCCAGACGCCUGAACAUUGUUCUACUUUGGGGCCCUAUAUCUGCUACCAUAAAGUGUGGGUGUCAGAGGGGUCAGAGGACACCCUGCUGGAAGUAGAGCUUGUGGCAAACAGCCUCCGGGGACAGCCAUUGAGGCAAAUGACACCUUGGAGGCGUAAAUCACCCAGGGGACUUGUUCUGUGGUCAGUGGAAAAACAAUUCAAAUUCUAAGGAGACACUAAUGGCAGCAGAGGGAGAGGGUGCCCCGGUCUGCAUACCUACCCUUUGAGAAAAGGGAUCUAACUAAAUAGUAGAGAGUCUUGUUACUAUUUUUUUUAAUUAAAAAAUUUUUUUGAGACAAGACCCAGCUCUGUCAUCCAAGCUGGAGUGCAGUGGCACAAUCUCGGCUCACUGCAACCUCCGCCUCCCAGGCUCAAGUGAUCCUCCCACCUUAGCCUCCCGACAGUUAGGAUUACAGAUGUGAGACACCGUGCCCAGCUAAUUUUUGUACUUUUUGUAGAGAUGGGGUUUCACCAUGUUGUCCAGCUUGGUCUUAAACUCUUGACCUCAAGUGAUCUGCCCAUCUCAGCCUCCCAAAGUGCUGGGAUUACAGGUGUGAGCCACCGUGUUAAGCCCUGUUAUUAUUUUAAAAUGUGGUCUUCAGUGAUUUCCGUUCAGGGCAUUGUUAAUAUUCCAAACGAUGAUCAUCAUUGUGGCCGUGAUGAGCUUAAUUAGAUUAAUAAAAAUUUAAGAUAGUUCUAUCUGAAAGCACCAGGAUCUCCCAUUACAUUGAGUAGUCAAGAGUCUGAAAGCAGCCCUCUGUUAAUUAAUCUCCAGCCCUCUGUUUCCCCACCUAUAAAAUGUUUGAACAAA